CUCAGGUCGGGCAGGAAUUGUCAGUGGAGGGAGUGAAUAACACUCAAUACCACGACUGAGAUGAGACCCUUGAGCAAGGCACCGAACCCCCAACUGCUCCCCGGGUGCUGCAGCAAUAUGGCUGCCCACUGCUCCAGGGGUGUGUUCACUGCUGUGUGUGCGCACUUGGAUGGGUUAAAUGCAGAGCACAAAUUCCGAGUAUGGGUCACAAUACUUGGCCACAUGUAACUUCACUUCAUUUAAAUCAUCUUGAGGCCCCAUGAACGUUUGCCGGACCUCUGGUUGAGAGUCACUUCUUUAUUCUUUACUCUAGACAUGCACACCCCAUGCACAGUCCAUAUAUGCAAGACAUUAUGUACACAAUUUACAAUCCUGCAGUUUCUCCCAAGACACUCUUGACUCAGCUCUUAUCCUUUAUAUAAUUCAUAACCGGUUUAAAAAUACCCCGCUCUCAAGCGCAUGCAGGGGUGUUUUCUCGAAUAUGGGCUGGUGGAAGGAGUGUAUUCUGCUCGGGACCGAGCCAACCUGGUUUUCUCCUUGUUUAGCCGCCGCCUCCCCUCAUGACAUCAACACUGCGGAGAGCCGCCGCGCGCUCAGACUCUGCUGCAGAACGGCACGCCAGUGCGCAAAGGCUAUUGAGAUCAUAAUUGGUGUGUUUACUGUCAUUCUGAGCACAAUUGUGUAUAAGCUGCACUACCAUAUCCAGCGUGAAAUCAUCAUCCUCAUCAUCAACGGUGCUCAGCUUGUCAUAACUGGUGUUGUCCUGGUGCACACUGGGAGGAAACCAUCUAAAUGUCUGGUGCUGACAACAUUUGUUCUGCAGUUACUAACAGCAGCAUUUGAUAUUGUUGGAUUUGGGCUGAUGGCCAGACACAUCCCAUUCAGAGGAGACUCGUACUACUACAGGGACACAGAGUGGUGUUGUGACCCACUUCACUCUCUUUCGGCUUGCUGUGGAGAUGGAGAGAAAGAGGCACAAAAAGAGUUCUUAGUGAAUGGGAUCUUGGUGACACUGAUCGGUUUCCUGAUGCUAGCAUGUGCCAUUGGUUUGGUUGUUUCUCUUUUUGGGGUCUACGCCCUUUCUGUUAGUGCCAUAAAGGAGCUGACUCCUAUCCCUCACUCUACACCAAACCAGCAUUAUGUUGAUGGCGUUCAGACCCAGAAAACGAUCCAUGCCGGAAACUGACAAAAUAAGAGGCAGAAGGGCACAGUUUUAGCACAGUUUUUCACCAACUGCAAAAGAGGACUGUUUCACCUACAAACCACUCACAGGUAACC
ensembl:lncRNA